rnacentral:rRNA from 1 species
CUUCGGGAGCACCGGCGGACUGCUCAGUAACACGUGGACAACCUACCCUCGGGUGGGGGAUAACCUCGGGAAACUGAGGCUAAUACCCCAUAGGCCUCGGAUACUGGAAGGUUCCGAGACCGAAAGCUCCGGCGCCCGAGGAUGGGUCUGCGGCCUAUCAGGUAGUUGGUGGUGUAAAGGACCACCAAGCCUACGACGGGUACGGGCCCUGAGAGGGGGAGCCCGGAGAUGGACUCUGAGACACGAGUCCAGGCCCUACGGGGCGCAGCAGGCGCGAAACCUUCGCAAUGCGCGAAAGCGCGACGAGGGGAGCCCGAGUGCCCUUCCUUUCGGGAGGGCUUUUCUGGAGCCUAAAAAGCUCCAGGAAUAAGGGCUGGGCAAGACGGGUGCCAGCCGCCGCGGUA